AUUGAACGCUGGCGGCAGGCUUAACACAUGCAAGUCGAGCGGGGUGAUGGUGCUUGCACUAUCACUUAGCGGCGGACGGGUGAGCAAUGCUUAGGAAUCUGCCUAUUAGUGGGGGACAACAUCUCGAAAGGGAUGCUAAUACCGCAUACGUCCUACGGGAGAAAGCAGGGGAUCACUUGUGACCUUGCGCUAAUAGAUGAGCCUAAGUCGGAUUAGCUAGUUGGUGGGGUAAAGGCCUACCAAGGCGACGAUCUGUAGCGGGUCUGAGAGGAUGAUCCGCCACCCGGGGACUGAGACACGGCCCAGACUCCUACGGGAGGCAGCAGUGGGGAAUAUUGGAAAAGGGGGGGAACCCUGAUCCAGCCAUGCCGCGUGUGUGAAGAAGGCCUUAUGGUUGUAAAGCACUUUAAGCGAGGAGGAGGCUCUUUUGGUUAAUACCCAAGAUGAGUGGACGUUACUCGCAGAAUAAGCACCGGCUAACUCUGUGCCAGCCGCCGCGGUAA
rnacentral:rRNA from 1 species